rnacentral:rRNA from 1 species
CCUCUUUCGACCGGGACGAAGGGUGACUGACGGUACCGGUAGAAGAAGCACCGGCCAACUACGUGCCAGCAGCCGCGGUAAUACGUAGGGUGCGAGCGUUGUCCGGAAUUAUUGGGCGUAAAGAGCUCGUAGGCGGUGUGUCACGUCGGUCGUGAAAACUUGGGGCUCAACCCUGAGCGUGCGGUCGAUACGGGCAGACUAGAGUGCGGUAGGGGUGACUGGAAUUCCUGGUGUAGCGGUGGAAUGCGCAGAUAUCAGGAGGAACACCGAUGGCGAAGGCAGGUCACUGGGCCGCAACUGACGCUGAGGAGCGAAAGCAUGGGGAGCGAACAGGAUUAGAUACCCUGGUAGUCCAUGCCGUAAACGUUGGGCACUAGGUGUGGGGCUCAUUCCACGAGUUCCGUGCCGCAGCAAACGCAUUAAGUGCCCCGCCUGGGGAGUACGGCCGCAAGGCUAAAACUCAAAGAAAUUGACGGGGGCCCGCACAAGCGGCGGAGCAUGCGGAUUAAUUCGAUGCAACGCGAAGAACCUUACCAAGGCUUGACAUACACCGGAAAAGUGCAGAGAUGUGCUCCCCGUAAGGUCGGUGUACAGGUGGUGCAUGGUUGUCGUCAGCUCGU